AUCCAGCUGUCGAGUCUCAAAUAGGACAAGACGCACGUUCUGGAU
rfam:Schistosoma curassoni strain Dakar, Senegal genome assembly, scaffold: SCTD_scaffold0002569